rnacentral:rRNA from 1 species
UACGAAGGGGGCUAGCGUUGCUCGGAAUCACUGGGCGUAAAGGGUGCGUAGGCGGGUCUUUAAGUCAGGGGUGAAAUCCUGGAGCUCAACUCCAGAACUGCCUUUGAUACUGAGGAUCUUGAGUCCGGGAGAGGUGAGUGGAACUGCGAGUGUAGAGGUGAAAUUCGCAGAUAUUCGCAAGAACACCAGUGGCGAAGGCGGCUCACUGGCCCGGUACUGACGCUGAGGCACGAAAGCGUGGGGAGCAAACAGG